AGGAUGAGGUCGUGUGACACUGUUAUCCCCUCCUCCGGAUCCCGACUCUUCCUUGUUCUAUUAGGAUUCUACCGAACUUUCAGAUUAGGAAAAGAAUUACUCCUAUCACAAUAUAUAUAUGUGUUUAUAUAUAGGUCAAUACAGUGUCUUCUCUUUCAUAAUUGUUCUAUUGGUUUGCAUCGCCAAAUUAUUGCAGGCUUCAGUGCUAUUGGUUAUGGAUAUGGACUCAUUGUCGGGGUCAGAUUGGGCAUGGCUUCCGAAGCACUUAUUGGAUACGAUUCUGGACAAAUUGGUUUCACUUUCCAAUUAUGUUCAUUUUGGUGCGGUCUGUAGAGAAUGGCAGUCUGUGGUAAUGGAGAAGAAGUGUUGCACACAAGUUCCAUUUUUAAUGGUCCCUACAGAAGAUAAUAGCGAGGAAAGACGCAGUCUAUACAGCAUUACUCACAAUAAAUUAUAUGAUUUUCAGUUAAGGGUACCUUAUAAAAAGAGGCUUUCUGGUUCCUCACAUGGUUGGUUGUUUACUGUUGAAGAAUCCUUUGCCUUGACCCUAAUCAAUCCGUUCUCUGGCGCUAUGGUUGAGCUUCCUCCAAUUAUGGACCGCUCAAUAUUUGAACCACAAGAAAUUGAAUAUGAUAGUGAAGAUGAUUUCGAAUACGUGUAUACCCCUGUCGAGGUUGAGUUCGAAGUUAUGAAGGCUACAUUGUCUGCUGACCCUGCUUCGUCUCCUAAUAACUAUAUUGUAAGCGCGAUCUAUGAUGAUCAGAGAAGACUGGCUUUCAUUCUGCCCGGAGACAAAGCUUGGACUUACAUAGAUCAGAAAUUUACCCUCAUCCAUGAUGUCAUUUAUUAUAGAGGCCAGAUUCUUGCAGUAGAUUAUUGGAGUGGAAUCAUAAUGGUUGAUCUUAAUAGAAGGGCUGGGGAGAGUAAGGUUCCCCAAGUGGAGGUAAUUGCACCGCGGACUUAUCUGGGCUCUGAAAGACGGAUGUAUCUUGUGGAAUCAUCUAGCGGAGAUUUACUCCUUGUUGAAAGGUUUCUAAAAUAUGGAGACGAUUCACAGCAUUCAACUUUUAAGUUUAAGGUUUUCAAGAUGCUUUUACAGCAAACUGAGAAGGGUUUGGCUAAGCGGGUUGAAGUGAAGAGCUUGGGCGGAGACAGCCUGUUUCUUGGAGAUAACCAUUCCAUUUGUGUUUCAGCUUCCAAAUGGCCCGGGUGCCGGCCAAAUUCCAUAUACUACACCGAUGACUAUAUUGACAUCUUACACCAUCUCCCAGAUGGUCGCCGCGACGUUGGUAUCUUCAACAUAGAAAAUGGAAGCUUUGGGACGCAUUACAUUCUUGAUCCUUCACAUAAGCAUAUGCCGCCCUCAAUUUGGAUUGUGCCAACUAUGUCAAGAAAUUCAGCACAGAACUUCAAGAUCAGCAGGAAAAAACCAGCAAAAUGCAGCAGAUGUGCAGCACUUCGUGCAGUAUAUAACACACACACACACACACACACACAUAUAUUUCUUUCUGUGCGUUCUGUCAGUUUUUUGUCUCUAUUACUAGAUUACCGCAGAUCUUUGUUGUGCUUACCAUUUUUCCUUCAGUUUGAUUUGACAACAGUGGAAGAAGAUUUCUCCAGCUGUACUUAUGGUUCUCCACAUGGUGUCCCUUCAAAAAGACCAUCUUGUUUGUUGCGAUUUUUACACGAAAUACGCAUUGAUCUCACUUAACAAAAUAAUUUAAGUUUGAUUUGACAACAGUGGAAGAAGAUUGCUCCAGUUGUAUUUAUGGUUCUCCACAUAGUGUCCCUCCAAAAAGACCAUCUCGUUUGUUGCGAUUUUUACACAAAAUACGCAUUGAUCUCACUUAACAAAAUAAUUUAAGAAUGGUUUGCUGGGUUUUCUUGCUAGGCUGCUCUAAUGAGUUUACUUCAGAGUGAAUGAGACAGAGAAAUACGUUCAUCUGAAUGUGCAGAGAACUGGAACAAUCAAGGAAGAGAUUGCGAGGCUGAAAAAGAAGUGUGCGUCUCGAGCUUCAUAUUCUUGGGGAAUGCCUAAUUUGCUUUGGAAUUUUAUUUGUUUUUCUUGUAUGUGUUCUCAAUACUUACACUAGCAAAUACAUUUAGCAUUUCUGUUGUAACACUUAGCAGUUAAAAAUAACUUUUAAUUGUGGCCCUGUU